rnacentral:rRNA from 1 species
ACGGCCCUAUGGGAUUGUAAACUGGCUUUUGCACGGGAAGAAACAACACUACGUGUAGUGGCUUGACGGUACCGUAAGAAUAAGGAUCGGCUAACUCCGUGCCAGCAGCCGCGGUAAUACGGAGGAUCCAAGCGUUAUCCGGAAUCAUUGGGUUUAAAGGGUCCGUAGGCGGACUGAUAAGUCAGGGGUGAAAUCUCGCCGCUCAACUGGAAAACUGCCAUUGAUACUGGAGGACUUGAAUUAUUGGGAAGUGGCUAGAAUAUGUAGUGUAGCGGUGAAAUGCUUAGAUAUUACAUGGAAUACCAAUUGCGAAGGCAGGUUACUACUAAUGGAUUGACGCUGAUGGACGAAAGCGUGGGUAGCGAACAGGAUUA